rnacentral:rRNA from 1 species
GUGCCAGCAGCCGCGGAAUACGGAGGGUGCGAGCGUUAAUCGGAAUUACUAGGGCGUAAAGGCGCAUGCAGGUGGUUUGUUAAGUCAGAUGUGAAAGCCCCGGGGCUCAACCUCGGAAUUGCAUUUUGAAACUGGCAGACUAGAGUACUGUAGAGGGGGUAGAAUUUCAGGUGUAGCGGUGAAAUGCGUAGAGAUCUGAAGGAAUACCGGUGGCGAAGGCGGCCCCCCUGGACAGAUACUGACACUCAGAUGCGAAAGCGUGGGGAGCAAACAGGAUUAGAUACCCCUGGUAG